rnacentral:lncRNA from 10 species
UGGUAUAAAUUGGGUUUCAUGGAUUGGUUUCAAUUCUGAAUGCUUUUCUGGAGCCAAAGCUCACCUCAGCACUCUUGGGCUGCAUGCUGUAAUCCUGGGGGAUGGGGGAUUAGUCCUGUGGCUUUGCUCUCUGGCCCCUUGAGAUUAAGCACCUGCUGUGCUGGAGGUGCUGAGGUGUUCCCAGUUCACUUGCAACAACACUCUGGCAGGGGCUGCUGGCAAAAUUGCUCCAGUGGGGCAGUGGGAGUCUCCACACACAUGUGCACCAAUGGAGGAGGCUGCAGGAAGACUUCAAUUAUUUUAUUUGAUGUGCCACUGGACAGACUUGUAAAUGGAAGCUCAAGGAAUUCAGUGAGUUGUCUCUGGAAAAGAGCAGAGCAGGUGAACACAACAGAUGAAGCUAUUAAUGCAGCUUUACCUUACUGACCCAGAGCCCUUCGAGUCUGAGUUUCCUCUGGACCAAGUGGUUAUCUUCUCUAUACAGACUGGGGAUUCUAUCUCCCAAGCAUGCAAUUAACUGCCCCUUUUGAAUAUUCUAUUCCAAGACUCAUUGCAGGAGAGAGGAACCAGGAAAAUUUUGCAUGAGGAAGAUGCAUCUGUGUAAGAGGUAGUAACAUCCGAUGUUAUAUUCCUCCGUGUUGGGAGUUCACUGGUCACUCAAACUGCAGAGACCACAAUUGCAGGCAGUGCUAUUCAGAUGGACUAAAAAUCAAAUGAAGACCCAGGAGUUGUGUGAUGCGAUGGCCUCAUAUAAAGGGAACUGAUGCCUUGAGGAAUCAGAUGUUUCAUGCUAAUUUAAAUUUUUGGCACCUUCGAUUACAUGAAAUCUAAAAGAUUGCUUUCUAAAUAAUGACAACAGAUUUCCUGACAAUGCGAACAACAGAUGUCACCAAGGCUUAGCAACACAUGGGCAAACAGUUUUCAGCGAUCUCAAAGGACUGAGGUGAAAGGAUUAGGGGAGUGUACUAUGUACCAAAAUCAAAAAGUUCAGGUCUACAGAAAUUGCACAGAGAGUGCAGAGAGUAUAUACUAUAAAUAAGGCACCAGAUGUGAUUACUCAGGAAGAGCGAAGAGACAUGUAGAGCUUAAUUUCUGCCCAUGAGGCAGUAUUACAGUGUUUCCUAGAAUCAAGAAAUGCUGUAUGUGAGGGAAAACCGGGAGGGACUUCCCAGAUGAAGUGGCUCUUGGACUGGCCUUUGAAAAA